UUCCUCAGUACUAUUGCAUGAUGGUAUGAAGAGAAGUAACAAUGUCAAUAUUUACAUUCCUUAAAUAGUUCACGUGAUUUAGUACACGCUACAUUCUGCGUAUAAUUAAGAAAACAGUUGCAAAAUAUCAUUUUAGCAAAGAUUUGUUGUUCAAGGUGGAAGAAAAUUUAAAAUAGUAAGGAGCUAUUUUAAAAUGAAGAUGCUGUUAAUACCAUUUCUCGUUACAACACUGAUGUCAAGCGCUGCAGCUGUUGACAGAUGUGGGGACAGAUGUACAUAUGAAUGGCCUUUUUUCGUACUACUGCCAAAAGGGGUACGACUGCUGCGGCCUUCGGGGCCUUCAGGGGAUUUGUAUGCCAGCGGGAGCUGUAUGCUGUGACAGCAUUUCCUAUUGUCCGAGUGGCCAUACUUGCUGCGGGACAAUGUAUUGUUGCAAAGCGGGAACCUUCUGUGAUGGAAAAGGGCAUUGUCUUUUAGAUAAGUAUUCAGCUCGGAAGCCAAAUGGAACGAGAACACCUUUUAAAACAACAAGAGCAUUAUAUCCAACAACAAGAGCAAGAACACCUUUUCCAAAUAAGACGACGAGGUGGUACUAUAAUGAUUACACAACCACGAGUUCAUUCCGAAUAUCACAUACAAGUACGUUACGAUAGUGGUAUGGUGUAAUAAUCGGCAGUGUAGUUGUUACUGUGGCAAUCAUCAUCGCUGCUGUCAUAGGGAAUUGCAGAAACUCUGCAUCAAAUGCGCCAGGUCAUUCAGGUACUGGUGGAAUGGUGCUGACCGCACUGGCCCAGAUCUAUGGACAAUCACCUGGAAAUAACAUGCCUACACAACCACCAAAAUAAAAUAUAGUUUUCGUGGUACCCGGCAAAGAUAAAUAAUAAACCGUUGAACCAAAGAGUGUCAUUUAUAUUUACAUAGACAUGUACAUCCAGCACACGAUAUGCCGAUUUUAAAAUAAAGUAAUCCAUUAAUACUUCAUUUAAGGUAUUAGAUCACUAAUAGAGAACCUCCUUUUUGAAGAGUAUUCAAUUCCGACCAUAAAAUAGAGAAAAGUGGAAACUUCACAGG
rnacentral:misc_RNA from 1 species